rnacentral:lncRNA from 10 species
GGGAUUUCCACGUGGUGCUGGGCUGGGCCCCACCUACCUCUCUCCUGCAGAGGCGAAUCCUUACCCAGCAACACUGAGAGCAGCACCUGCUGAGUAUUUGGCCGCACUGGGAGCAGCACCUGCUGGGCAUUUCUUGUUGGUUGUUUCUGACCCUCAUGGUCAUUGUUGUUAUUGAUGCUCAAACUGCCCUGUCUCUAGUCCAUGGUUCCCUUCUAGGGAAACCUGGACUCAGCCUGUGGUCUCUGUCAGCACCUGGCAGGACAAGGCCUGCUCCCCGCAAGCUUAGAGUCAGCCUCUGCAGCAGCAUCUUCCUCAGGCUGUGCCACCUGUGUGACAUCCAUGCCAGCCCUCUGUCCCAUGUAGGCACAUGCCUGGGAUGGGAAGAGAAAUUCCUCAUUUUAGCAUGAUCCAGUUCAUCAACUUUGUCCUUUGUGGUUAGUGCUUUUUGUGUUCAAUAGAAAUACUGUUCUCAGGUCAUGGGGAGACUUUCAUGCAGCUCUAGAGGCUAUGUCCACUUGCCCUGAGCGUGUCCCUGCACUAGGCCUAGAACGGUACAGACAGGUAGCCAAGUCCAGGACUUGCCAUAAGGAUGUGCCAUUCGUCCAGGACACCACGUCACAGUGACUGUCUCUCCCCAUGGGCCUGCCAGGGCGCCAAGGACAGGGGCUCUAAUCCCCAGCUCUGCCCUAUCCCUCUUGGCUUAUUUGCCUUGACUACAGUGCUACAGUGGUCCUCACUCCCUCCUUGUGGUCCUCCCUGUCAGUGAUCUUCUCUCCUUGAGAUCCUCCCUUCUUGUAAUCUUCCCUCCCUGGGGUCCUCCCUCCCUCCCCAAGGUCCUUCCUCACUCCCUGUGGUCUUCCCUCUCUGGUGUCUUUCCUCCCUGUAGUCCUCCCUCCCUGGGAUCCUCCUUUCCUAGGAUCUUCCCUCCCUAGAGUCCUCCCUCCCUCCCUGGGAUCUUCCCUUCCUGGGAUCUUCCCUCAUUCCCUGGGAUCUUCCCUUCCUAGGAUCUUCCCUCCCUCUCUGGCAUCUUCCCUCCCUGUGGUCCUCCCUCCCUGGGAUCCUCCUUUCCUAGGAUCUUCCCUUCCUAGAGUCCUCCCUCCCUCCCUGGGAUCUUCCCUCCAUCGGCUUCUCCCUCCCUCCCUGAGGUCCUCCCUCACUCCCUGUGAUCUCCCCUUCCUGGGAUCUUCCCUCCCUGGGGUCCUCCUUCCCUAGGAUCUUCCCUUCCUGGAGUCCUCCCUUGCUCCCUGUAGUCCUCUCUCCCUGGGAUAUUCCCUCCCUGGAGUCCUCCCUCCCUGAGGUCCUCCCUCACUCCCUGUGAUCUUCCCUUCCUGGGAUCUCCCUCCCUGGGGUCCUCCUUCCCUAGGAUCUUCCCUUCCUGGGGUCCUCCUUUGCUCCCUGUGGUCCUCCCUCCCUGGGAUUUUCCCUCCCCAUGGUCUUCCUCCCCCAGGGCCCUCCCCCAGUAGGGUCCUCCUUCCCUGAGAUCCUCUCUCCCUGGGGUCCUCCCUCCCUGGAGUCCUUCCUCCCCCAGUGGGGUCCUCCCUCCCUGGGGUCCUCUUUCCCUGUUCUUUCUUCAAGGGUCUUAUCCCUCUGCACUGCCUCCUCCUGACAAUGAGCGCCAAAACCCUCAGGCAGGUGUUUGUAAAAUUUAAUUCCACUUCUCAGGCCCUCAGCAAGAAGAGGUCAGUUUGAAUUAGCUCAUCUGCCACCACCGGAAGCAGACCCCAUUUGUUUUAAAGUAUACUUUUAAAAAUUACACCUUUAUUAUAGAAAAAAAUAAUUGAAAGUAUAAGACAGAAAUCACUCAUCACUGGCCAGUUGCUGUGGCUCACGCCUGUAAUGCCAGCACUUUAGGAGGUCAAGAUGGUAGGAUCGCUUGAAGCUGAGAGUUUGAGACCUGCCUGGGGAACAUGGCGAAGCCAAAUCUCCAAAAAUCUUUUUUUUUUUUUUUUUUUUUUAAUUAGCUGAGCAAAAGUGGUGUGUGCCUGUAGUCCCAGCUACUUGGGAGGCUGAGAUGGGAGAAUCACUUAAGCCCAGGAGGUCAAGGCUGUAGUGAGCCGUGAUCGUACCACUGCACUCCAGCCCCAGUGACAGAGUGAGACCUCGUCUCAAAAAAAAAAAAAAAAAAAAAAAAAACACAGAGAAAAGAAACAAGAAAAAGAACUCUAUCAUCGUACCCACUCAGCAGUGAUGGCUGCAGGCAUCUGCUGCAUGGUUGCCAUCACCCACGGGCUGUUUUGUCAGGACACUGGUUUUCCUUUCCUUUCAUGGCAGCCCCAGUUCACUUAACUAGUCACCUGUCACUGGACGCUUGGCUGUGGCUGGUUGUUGAGGACUGUAACAUUGUUGGAUCUCUGUCUUUCUGCACAUCCUUAAUUAUGUCCUUCAGAUCAAUUCCAAAAUGUAGAUUUGUCUGAGCAAAGGUGUUUACGGCCUUGGGCACUCCUGCUAAAUUGCUGUUGGAGCACCUGCGCCAGCUGACCUUCCCACCUGCAGGAGCUAGGUCUAAACAUGCAUCUUUCCCUCCACCAUGGAAAGUGCUAGGCACCUGUCUCUCUUACUCUUCCCAAGUGGGUAAGGUAAGCAGCCCCAUCGAGCAGCCCCAUCAUUUCACUUUGCAUCCCUGCGGACUGUCGGUGAGGCCAGCCUGGCCCCUGUGUCCUGGCAUUCCAUGCUUUUCCUCUCAGGAAUCACUCAGCGUGCUGGUCACUCUGGUCUCCAUUGGUCUGUGAGUUUUUUGUACACAUUAGUGAAAUGUUUAUAUGAUAAUGCUCACCAACACUAUUAAGUCACAAAUUAUUUUCUCAGUAACUGCUUUUUACUUUGCCUACAAUUUAGUUUUACCUUGUAGAAUUUAAACUCCAUCUUGAUGGGUUCUGUUUCUCUUACUCUAGAAUGGCAUCUGGCACAUAUAGGGAACCCAGCAAAUGCUUGUUGAAGGUGUGAAUUGAAACAGACACUCCUCAACUUAUGAUGGGGCUAUGCCCUGAUAAACCCAUUGUAAGAGGAAAAUAGUAUAGUCAAAAAUGCAUUUAACAGGGCACGGUGGCUCACGUCUGUAAUCCCAGCACUUUGGGAGGCUGAGGUGGG